GACGAACGCUGGCGGCGUGCUUAACACAUGCAAGUCGAACGGAAAGGCCCUGCUUUUGUGGGGUGCUCGAGUGGCGAACGGGUGAGUAACACGUGAGUAACCUGCCCUUGACUUUGGGAUAACUUCAGGAAACUGGGGCCAAUACCGGAUAGGAGCUCCUGCUGCAUGGUGGGGGUUGGAAAGUUUCGGCGGUUGGGGAUGGACUCGCGGCUUAUCAGCUUGUUGGGGGGGUAGUGGCUUACCAAGGCUUUGACGGGUAGCCGGCCUGAGAGGGUGACCGGCCACAUUGGGACUGAGAUACGGCCCAGACUCCUACGGGAGGCAGCAGUGGGGAAUAUUGCACAAUGGGCGGAAGCCUGAUGCAGCAACGCCGCGUGCGGGAUGACGGCCUUCGGGUUGUAAACCGCUUUCGCCUGUGACGAAGCGUGAGUGACGGUAAUGGGUAAAGAAGCACCGGCUAACUACGUGCCAGCAGCCGCGGUGAUACGUAGGGUGCGAGCGUUGUCCGGAUUUAUUGGGCGUAAAGGGCUCGUAGGUGGUUGAUCGCGUCGGAAGUGUAAUCUUGGGGCUUAACCCUGAGCGUGCUUUCGAUACGGGUUGACUUGAGGAAGGUAGGGGAGAAUGGAAUUCCUGGUGGAGCGGUGGAAUGCGCAGAUAUCAGGAGGAACACCAGUGGCGAAGGCGGUUCUCUGGGCCUUUCCUGACGCUGAGGAGCGAAAGCGUGGGGAGCGAACAGGCUUAGAUACCCUGGUAGUCCACGCUGUAAACGGUGGGUACUAGGUGUGGGGUCCAUUCCACGGGUUCCGUGCCGUAGCUAACGCUUUAAGUACCCCGCCUGGGGAGUACGGCCGCAAGGCUAAAACUCAAAGGAAUUGACGGGGCCCCGCACAAGCGGCGGAGCAUGCGGAUUAAUUCGAUGCAACGCGUAGAACCUUACCUGGGUUUGACAUGGAUCGGGAGUGCUCAGAGAUGGGUGUGCCUCUUUUGGGGUCGGUUCACAGGUGGUGCAUGCCUGUCGUCAGCUCGUGUCGUGAGAUGUUGGGUUAAGUCCCGCAACGAGCGCAACCCUUGUUCACUGUUGCCAGCACGUUAUGGUGGGGACUCAGUGGAGACCGCCGGGGUCAACUCGGAGGAAGGUGGGGAUGACGUCAAGUCCUCAUGCCCCUUAUGUCCAGGGCUUCACGCAUGCUACAAUGGCUGGUACAGAGAGUGGCGAGCCUGUGAGGGUGAGCGAAUCUCGGAAAGCCGGUCUCAGUUCGGAUUGGGGUCUGCAACUCGACCUCAUGAAGUCGGAGUCGCUAGUAAUCGCAGAUCAGCAACGCUGCGGUGAAUACGUUCCCGGG
rnacentral:rRNA from 1 species